UGAAUGCUACUUGAAAAUAUCAGAUUCAGAAGCUAAUAAAAAGAUAUUAUAGGGUAAUAUAAUCAUAGAAAUGAUUCACAAGAGCACAUUCUCUUCAAUCUGAAGGUUUAUGGUUGUCAGGCUCUAUGCCUUACAGAUACUGUUCUAAUGUGUCUAGGUAGAUUCCUACGGAGUUAGCAGAUUUGCAUAUUUAUGGUCUCCAGGAUAAAUGGGUCUUAACUGUGAAAUAUCUGUAGGUGGGACUAACAGUAUCUACAGUAUCUGCUAUUUGAUUCUCCUUAAGCCUGGCAAGAAAGUAGACUAGCAUUAUUCCAAUCAAAAGAAUAGUGACUUGUGACAUAUGUAUCCCUAGGCAAAUAAAUGCAUUAUUCAUAUGUUCACAAGUUCAUGUAAAGCAAAGAAAGCCUAAUGAAGAUUUAUGUCUGGAUCAACUUCCUGACUUAAAAAUUUAUUAUUCCUUGGACUUAUCAUGCAAAGGAAGUGGUGGAAACCCAUCCUCUGAACUAUUAAGACUCCAUGAAAACAGAUUAGAAAGCACUCUAGAGCCCCAUCUUUCAUGGAUUAGGUGGGAUGGUGGUCGUGGAUUUGAUGAUAUAAUUGGUCAUCUAUCUCCUCAAUUUUUGCAAGAGGGCAUAAGGAGAAAAUGUGGCCAGUGGAAAAGCUUUAAUCAUGGUUGAAUGUUCUUGUUAGGUUAAUAGCUACAGGAUAUGGAAGGGAAUUAGCAUCCUAUGUUUACCCUGGUCUUUUACAUGAACUUGACUUAAAACCAUCUGGCUUGCCCAAGCAGAUAUCUCUCUCCUAUGAACUCAUAAACUCAGUGUGCAUUCAUCUGCAGGGGUGCUUGGCCAUAUGGUCUAAUGUGCUCUCAUCCAUCUCAUCUCUCUUAGACCCUAUAUCUUCAAGGCCUAGCAGAGUGCCUGUCACAAAGAAGACAUUGGGCAUUUGUUGGUGACAACAAUGAAUGAAUGGAUGGAUGAACGAAUGAUGUUACUCAACUUCAUUCCUGAGAAUUAUAUUGAGUUACUAUCAACUUUGAAAAAAAACUCCCAAAUUUUGAUACUACGGAAGAGAAAUAGAGAACAAGCAACAUCUUUCCUAAAAACUUAUCAACACAAUUUUAUUAAAAGAGAAAAAGUGUAUUGACCUCUGCAUCUUAAAGCUAUUGGGCUGAAAAAUAUGUAACCUUCAUAUUCCAUAAUUAGCUGUUACAAGAUUUUGAUACCCAGUGGAGCAGAGUGUACCUUCGGAAAAGAGAUUUAUUAAAGUUUAAUGAAUGAUUUAUAACUGCAUUUCUUAUUGGAGAAAGAAAGUUUUGCAGCCCCCAUGCUUGAAACAAUCAUCUUUUUCUCUGAGCUAAGGUGAGGUGAUAUUUCUAAGGCAAUAAAAAAAUUAUAAUGAAAAUACUGGAGGUUUUUGAAAUAUUUUCCAGCUAUGAAUCUUGAAGGCAUUUACAAAUAUCAAUUAUGAUUUCAGUGAAUCAUUGCCAGUGUUUUAUUUCCAAUAAUAUCAAGUUAUAUUAUCUAAAGAGGUCAGAACAGAUUAAACUGCUUGUUUUCUGAAUUAAUAGAGGGAGAAAUUAUAUGAAUAAUAUGAAAAAUGAACAAUAAUUAUAUAUCAUUUAUAGUUUGCCUUUGAAUUCAUUCUGUUUUUAUAGGGAAAACAAAAUAUUUCCCAUAGAAAUGCAAUCAGAUAUGCUACAAGUGAACUUCAGAGACUAUCAUGUCACCAAAUGCACAAACAUACUUUACUAUCUAUGUAGCUCAUAAAGUUAUCAGAUUUAGCAACAAAAACAGAAACAAAACAAAACAAAGAACCCAGGAUACACAGUUAAAUUCGAGUUUCAGAAAAAUAACAAAUUUUUAGUAUAGCAUGAUAAUUUUUUUUUUUUUUGCUUGAGGAAGAUUAGCCCUGAGCCAACAGCUGUGCUGAUCUUCCUCUGUUUUGUACGUUUGUCACUGCCACAGGAUGGUUUGACAAGUGGUGUAGGUCCACACCUGGGAUCUGGGCCUGUGAAGCCCGGGCUGCCACAGUAGAGCAUGCUAAACUUAACCACUGUGCCACCAGGCCAACCUGAGUGAUAGUUAAUGUUAACUUGAUUGGAUCAUGGACUGGCCAGGUAUCUGGUUAAAAAUAAUUGCUGGGUCUCUCUGUGAGGGUGUUAGAGAUUAGCAUGUGAAUUGGUAGAUUGAGUAAAGUGGUGUGACCUCCUCAGUGUGGGAGGCAUCGUCAUCCCAUCUGUUGAGGCACUGAAUAGAACAAAAAGCUGGAGGAAGGGAAGAUUCACGCUCUCUGCUCCACUGAGCUGGAACACGGAUCUUGCCCUUAGAGCUCCUCGUUCUUGGGCCUUUGGACCUGCACUGGAAUCUACACCAUCAACUCUCUGACUCAGGCCUUCGAACUACACCACUCAGUUUCCUGGCUCUCCAGCUUGCAGACGACAGAUUGUGGGACUCCUCAGCCUCCAUAAUCACAAG